AUUGAACGCUGGCGGCAUGCUUUACACAUGCAAGUCGAACGAGUGGCGAACGGGUGAGUCAUGCUUCGGAACCUACCGCGUCAAGGGGGAUAACUUCCCGAAACCGCAGCUAAUACCGCAUACAAUAGGAUUCGCCCAUUUCGGAUUAGGUGGUUGGUGGGGUAAAGGCCCACCAAGGCGACGAUCACUAGCGGGUCUGAGAGGCGGAUCGGCCACACUGGGACUGAGACACGGCCCAGACUCCUACGGGAGGCAGCAGUGGGGAAUGUUGCACAAUGGGCGCAAGCCCGAGCCAGCCAUGCCGCGUGAAUGAAAAAGGCCUUCGGGUUGUAAAGGUCUUUCGUUAGCGACGCGGUAGCUAAAGAAUAAGCACCGGCUAACUACGUGCCAGCAGCCGCGGUAAUUC
rnacentral:rRNA from 1 species